rnacentral:rRNA from 1 species
GACGAACGCUGGCGGCGUGCUGAACACAUGCAAGUCGAACGGUUCAGAAGAGCUUGCUCUUUUGAUCAGUGGCGAACGGGUGAGGAACACGUGAGCAACCUACCCUUGACUCUGGGAUAACAGUUGGAAACAGCUGCUAAUACCGGAUACGACCUCGGCCGACAUCUGCUGAGGUGGAAAGUUCUGGCGGUCAAAGGAUGGGCUCGCGGCCAAUCAGCUAGUUGGUGAGGUAACGGCUCACCAAGGCGUCGCCGGGUAGCCGGCCUGAGAGGGGGACCGGCCACACUGGGACUGAGAGACGGCCCAGACUCCUACGGGAGGCAGCGGUGGGGAAUAUUGAACAAUGGGCGAAAGCCUGAUGCAGCAACGCCGCGUGCGGGAUGACGGCCUUCGGGUUGUAAACCGCUUUCAGCUCCGACGAAGCGCAAGUGACGGUAGGAGCAGAAGAAGGACCGGCCAACUACGUGCCAGCAGCCGCCGUAAGAC